UUUUGGAAACAGGUGGGGAAGAGAGCAGCCCUUACCCAUGAAUAACAGAGGACCAAACAGUUCCUAGAUCAGGAUUAUUUGUUAAAAGAUUGCCAGUCCAAACUAUACAAUCUCUUACAUUUGCACCAGUGAGAGGGAAGGAUGGUUGUUUUAUAAUCCUAACCACUACCACAUGGAAAUUCUUAACAGGUUUGCUUUACUCUUCUCAAUUCUCAUGGUAGGUAUACUACUACGGAGUAUCGGCACAAAUAUGAUGCUUGAACUUGUAACAAAUGGAAUCAAACAAAUCAUCAUCGUCAAAGCUUUUUCCCAAUUAAUUGGGGUUGGUAAAUGAAACUUCUCGAUAUCAACACAAUCAAGCAACAAUGCAUAAUAGGAUAGUGUAUUUACUUAUAAGAAAAUUAUUGAUAACGAAAUUUAUCAAACCACACAAAAUUCAUUAUUUAGCAUUUCACCACUCUAGUCGUCCUGCUUUAAAUAUGUCCAAGAAAGUGUGCAUCAUGUACACAAGGGGACACGUACUGAUGGAAGGGCAAUGUUUAAAUUGGAAAAUUUAUGUCCGUAGUGUAUUAAAGUACGGUAAUUAUGUGGAGGUCCAAAAUUUGUCAAAGUUUAUGAGGAGGUCCACCAGUCGUCCAGUCCGAUGUUUUGUCUUGGUUUUUUAUUUUUUAUUUAUCAAACAUCGGACUACUAUUUUUUUCUUGCUUUUUUAUUUUUUCCAAUUUUGUUUUGGUCUAAUGUUCUAAACAUUAGCUAUUUUUUUUAGUUUUUUGUUUUUUUUGAAACUUUGGGACCAAUCCAAGGUUCGAUAUCUUGAAACGCUUUGCUUGCAUGAACAUUGUGGAAGCCAAGUGGUCCGGGGUUUGGAACCUCGGAUCAACUCUUGGACUGUGAAAUUUGUAGUCUAGGCACUGGUUUGAGGUCUAGAACCUUGGACCGCUUGGUUUCCACAAUAUUCAUAGAAGCCAAGUGGUUCCUAGUCUAGAAGCUCAAACCACUCCGUGCACUGAAAAAGAAGUAGGAGAAUUUUUGUGAUUUAUCUAACAAGACGUACUACCAAUUGAGAAAAUUCUAUACUCUUGAGUGGUAAAACCAUAUCUAGGAGUAUUUUUUGUGACUUGAGAAUUUGGGAAUGUAUCAUAGAGACUAACCUGAUAAUUUUAAAUAAGAUUUUAGGAAUGUAUCAUCUUUAUCAGAGACUAACCUGAUGAAUUCAAAUCAGAUUUUAGGAAUGUAUCAUCUCUAUCAAAGACUAACCUGAUAAAUUCAAAUCACACUUUGUAGGUGCCUGAAAAAAAUAAUGUCCCAAUUAUUGAAAAGAGAUUGUCCAAUCUUUGAUCGUGAGACCUAAGUGUUAAAAAGCACAAAAUUCAAUAUUCUUAAGUGGAUCUCAAAAUUUUAGACUGAAAAAAAAUCCUUCUAGAUGGGUCUUUUGCCCAUGGGAGCAAGUAUAUAGUAUAUGCUCAAUGACCAAAAUCUCCUCAUUUGUUUGGAUCCCAAAGCCAAAAAUAGAGAUCCAAAUAAAAAAACACAUGUUUCUCAGGUUUAGAACCGAUUAGGAGAAACUGUUUUUCCAUUUGGAUUAGGCCACUUUAAGCUGAGCCAGCCCAUUAUGGGUUCUCUACUCUGCACAAGAGAUUUUAAUGAAAACAUAGGUUUUAAUUUGGAACAAAUUGGUAUUUACAUCCCUUGACAAUUGAUCUAGGCUACAUAAAUGGUUCCUAAUUGUCAAAAUAUCUCUUGCUUAUUCAGAAUUUUAAACCCUGAUUAGACAUACUUUUAAGGUGGGUGUGGUUUCCAUAAGGUUGCAAUCUUAAACAAUCCAAUUAAGGUGCACCUCCAAAUUUUAUUAUAACAUAUAAUUUUGAUGUAAAAUAUUAUUAGGAUUAUCUCAAAAUCUAUUUUCAUAUUUAAUUGUAAAAUUUUAAACUCCAAAAAUAGUUAAAAUCAAGUAGAUCUAUAAACAUAUGGAAAUCUUGAAAAUGUACGAUCUAGAUAAAGUGUUGUAAGAUGUACUAUUUUUAAGACUCAAAAUUCUUUUAAUUUUCAUAGCCAUAUUUCUCGAUGUCAAGGUGAUCAAUUAGAGUGUUUUUCAACAUUAAAACAACAUUUUCUGAUAGAUUUUUGAGGUGCAUUGUAGUUCUACAUUUUAAGGUUGUAUAAACUUUUUCCUUUAUAAAAAGAAAAAAAUUUAUAUAAGGGCGAGACUCUAAACAAUUGCAUUAAGGCACACCUAAAAAAUCAACUAAAAAAUGUUAUUUUGAUGCCCAAAAAGUUUCAAAUGAAUUAUCUCAACCUCAAGAUGUAUGGACAUGGGAAAAAAAAUAGAUUUCAAGUCUUAGAAAUAGUCCAUCUUGUAAUGUAUUUUUGAACCGUCAAUUUUCAAGAGUUUUCAAGUGUUCAGAGAUUUGCUUGAUCUAUACUAUUUUUUAAAGUUUAAAAUUCUAUAUCUAGGUAUAAAAUAAAGUUUCAAGCCAUAACAAAGAUUUCUAGUACCGGAAAAUAUAUUCUAAUACUAUUUAAAGAUGCACGUUACUUUGAUUAUUUGGGGCCUCAGCCCUAUACAAACCACACCCUUCUAAAAAAUAAAAUAAAAGAUGUAUUCUAACACUAUUUAAAGGUGGGCCUUACUUUGAUUAUUUGGGGCCUCAGCCCUAUACAAACCACACCCCUAUAAAAAAAAUAAUAACAGAAGUUGUAUUGGGUGAAAAUAAUUUUUUCUUAAAAAUUGGUUUGUUUGGAUUUUAUGGUUCAGCUAUUUUAAUGAUAUCUUACCUUCAAAUUAUCUCACUUUUCUAUCUUCUUCUGGUUUAGGUAUUGUAAUGAGUGGAAUUUAUAAUGGUGUCUUUGUAGACAAUCCCAGAGAGCGAGACCCCCGAGCUUUCAAGAGAGAACAGGUUAAAAAUUUUCAGAUGCAGAGAGAGACAGAAGCUUCAAGAGGAAAGGGAAAAGGGUAAAACUGANNN
rnacentral:lncRNA from 1 species